rnacentral:lncRNA from 1 species
GGGAAGCGGCCUCGGCGCGGGGGGCGGAGGGGAGCGGCGGAGGUGCGGGGCCGGCGGAGGGGGGCGAGGAGGGAGGCGGCUCCCCCUGCGCAGAACGAUGGUUUCUCCCGGAGCUGUCGAUCAUCCAGAGAAAGCCGUGAUUUCAGCCCAAAUCUUCCUCUCGGGGUUGACACCCAAUACACCUAGUUCCCCAUGAGCCUGGGAUCCCAGUCUACCCACCAAGAGGCACAGAAGGAAUGGGCUUUUCUCACCGUGCUCUUCCUCAUCACCCUGCUGCACCAGCAGCUUGGACAUCUGGAGUGCCCUGACCCCAAGCAGGAUGGUCAAGGACCAUAGGAGCUGAUGCUCUCCCUGCUGCCAUCGGGUGUCAUUUGGAACUGACCUCCCACUUUGGGAGCAAGGUUCAUUGGUUCUGCACUGAUUGCUGCGCCCGUGGGACGCUGAAAUCCUGCUGCAGAGAGGAAGUCAUGCCUGGGAAAAGCAGCAGCACUGGGGUUACAGAAAUGGGGCGGCCACCACUUCAAUUGCACGUGUUAGCUUCUAUCAGAAGAUGGUUCCCAGGCAGACAAGAGCCACAAGAGAUGGCAUCUAGAGGACAUUAAAGCGGGUUUGAUGGUGACUCAUUGCAGGCAGCAUUUACAGUUCCCGGUGCAGGAAGAACAGGUUGUAUUUGCACAUGAAGCCUUUGGCUCAUCGCACCUGGAGGAGGUGGCUCCGUGUCAGUCUGCGGGGUUAAAGAGGUGCAGCGGGCGGGA